AAGAGGAGGGUGCUCCCAGUAAACACACCCUGAGGAGGACCAAUAAAACAUUGAUUCAGGAGAGGCUCUAAAUCACACCAGGGAGCCUGAGACAUUAAAGCAAGCAUUAGGUGUACAUGCACACUCCACUGAGAGCUGAAACAGCUCUGACGUCGUGCAGGUCUACAUUAUUGCUAAAUGAUUUGACGCAAAACCGACUGAAGUCACAUGGACCACAGGAAGUUGCAUCAUACAGAUGCUGUGCAGGCCGUGGGAAGGCCAAAAUUUGGCCCUUCGAGGACUUUAAAAAAAAAGUUCCACCCGAUUUAUUCCUCUCCUAUGCAGUAUGCAAACACAAAGAGCAAUAAUGAGCAUGACAUGAGGAAGGUUAAAUGAACCCUCAGCUCAUUUGACAAGACUCCGCUGAAUACACUUGGUAGACGCUGCCGGCCCUGGAGAAGCACUUGUCGGCCAGCGGCGUGUGGCAGUCGGCGCACUUGAGGCACUUGGAGUGCCAGUGUCUGUCCAGGACCUUCAGGAUGAACUUGUCCACGAUGUGCUGGCUGCAGCCCGCACACUGAGGAAUCUCUGUGAGGGACGGCGUCCGUGCUUGUGCUGGGCCGCGCCGAGCUCUUUUUUGGAGGGGACCGAGACAGGCUGCUGAGUCCUGCAGGGGCGGCAGGGCGUGACGUCAUCGCGGCACAGGCUCGCCCAGAGCCAAUGGGAG